AUACGUAGGGGGCGAGCGUUGUCCGGAAUGAUUGGGCGUAAAGGGCGCGUAGGCGGCCUGGUAAGUCUGAAGUGAAAGUCCCGCUUUCAAGGUGGGAAUUGCUUUGGAUACUGCUGGGCUUGAGUGCAGGAGAGGAAAGCGGAAUUCCCGGUGUAGCGGUGAAAUGCGUAGAGAUCGGGAGGAACACCAGUGGCGAAGGCGGCUUUCUGGACUGUAACUGACGCUGAGGCGCGAAAGCGUGGGGAGCAAACAGGAUUAGAUACCCUGGUAGUCCACGCUGUAAACGAUGAAUGCUAGGUGUAGGAGGUAUCGACCCCUUCUGUGCCGGAGUAAACACAAUAAGCAUUCCGCCUGGGGAGUACGGCCGCAAGGUUGAAACUCAAAUGAAUUGGCGGGG
rnacentral:rRNA from 1 species